UACGUAGGGUGCAAGCGUUAUCCGGAUUCACUGGGUUUAAAGGGUGCGUAGGUGGGCAAGUAAGUCAGUGGUGAAAUCUCCGGGCUUAACCCGGAAACUGCCAUUGAUACUAUUUGUCUUGAAUAUUGUGGAGGUCAGCGGAAUAUGUCAUGUAGCGGUGAAAUGCUUAGAUAUGACAUAGAACACCAAUUGCGAAGGCAGCUGGCUACACAAAUAUUGGCACUGAGGCACGAAAGCGUGGGGAUCAAACAGG
rnacentral:rRNA from 1 species